AUAAUAAGAUUUAUUCCUAUGAAGAAUAAAUCCGGUUAUCGGAGGAAAGUGGGCUUACGUUUUGGGAGUUGUCCCGCUUUGAACACGUGGUGGAACUUGUUAUGUAUUAUGAGUCACGUUAAUUAUUUUAACCUUGAUAACUGUGACGUCAUCAUUCUUUCUUUACCACGUACGAUGCAGCAGAGGGAAGACGCAAAAAAUUGGGUUCCGUAUGAAUUAACUAAUGUUUGUUUCAAAAGUUAAUAAUAUUUCUUUGAUUUGGUAUAUGAAAUGGAUGUCUUUCAAAAAAUCUUAUUUUACUGAAAAGGUUCGGAAAGUUUGAAAGAUAGGAAAAGCACAUGGUUUUGAUCCAGUAUAAUUUACAAAUAGUGUUAAAGAUUUUAUAUCUUGUGUUGUUUCUUCUGUAAAGAGUUUCUAAAUAUUUCAUUGUAAAUUUUUAAUUGUUGGUUUAAUUCAGUGGAAAUCAUGAAUUAUAUUUCCAAAAAUAGAAAUUUUAACAGACCCGUAAUUUCAGAUAAAAACUGCGCACAUGGUUUUAAAGACACGUGUCGCAUGGACGUCUGCGAUUUUAAAACUAUCGUUAUAUGAAAUGUUUCAUCUGCUACACAGCAAGCAAUUUAAAGAGAAACCAAUAAUGAAUAAAUGUAUGAAGUUUAUAAAAUAUACAGAUCUAACAUUGUUGGGUUGAUGUUUAGACGAGUUGUAUAGAUAUUAUAACUUUUCAACGGUCGUUUCACUAAUAUUAUUGUAGUAAUUUUUCAGUUUUAAAAACCAAACAUCUUAUGGAAAUCGGGGAAAGCAGAUCGUAUAUGUCACAAAGGCCCUCUAAAAGUCCUUAUAAAUGCAGCCAAAGGCAAAGGGUACAGCAGAGGGGCGUACCGACACCGUUGGGAAACAGAUCUAGCAAUGUCGUUGGACAGCAUACUUCCACGCAAGUUUUAGCUACAUGUAUGAUGACUCCAGAACUUAGGAAUGAAGUUGUUCAGAUUGUCAAUGGCAAUGCCCUUAUUCACUCUCCAGCUACUGUUAGUGUUACAUCUCCUGACUCAGUCAAUGAAAGGCAACAAUCGAAUACAGGUAUAAACACAAAGUUCUAAUAUUUGCCAAUAACUAGUGCAAAUGAAUAAUCUAUGUUUAAAUGUUUCACAAAACUCGGAACAAAAUAAUUAAUGGUGAAUAUGUAGAUUUAGGUAUAUAUUGCUUUAAUACAAAUUCAGGCACAGAACAGUAGAUACAAAUGGACAGCUGAUUAUCCAAACUAAACUAAGUAAAAAGAUUACUGAUAUUAACACAUGGAUAGAUGCUUUCCUUAUUUACAUAAGUAUUUAUGUUGGUGUACAUUUAGAAGAUGCACCUAACUUAACCGAAUACAUACAUGUUAAAAUAUUUUGUGUAUCCGUGUUUCCAGUGCAAAAUU
rnacentral:lncRNA from 1 species